rnacentral:lncRNA from 1 species
CAACAAAUGACUUUUUAUAAAAGCUCUACUUCAAAAAUCUCUACUUUAAAAUGCUCUGCCUCCAAAAGCUCUACUGCCAACAGUUCUGCCAAACGGGGCUUUACUCUAGUUGACAUCCAUCCAGAGAUUAUGGGAGAUGAUGUUAUCUCAUUUCCCUGGCUGUGCACUAUUCUAUGGUAUGUUGAGUGAUGUGAGGAUCCGUGCAUGCGUAUGUUUAGUCCCAUAUUGGUUAUUCGCUGGGUAGAUCUUGGGUAUAUAUACAGGAUCAAGGAACCCAAUUAGUAACUUCCGACUAGCCAUUUUGGGUGAGGUCCUGAGUUGUUACAAAUGGUAUCAGAGCGGACCCGGCUUAUAAUCUAUGUGGACUAGGGAACACUGCAGCACGGAUCCAUUGGGGCUAACCAUGAGACGAUCGUGGUGUUUGUGAUUAGAUUUGAAUGGAUUUGAACCUUUAGCCUGACGAGGAC